UGUUACAGAGAGUUACGACAAAAGAAUAGAAUUGCGGGUGAAUCGUGAAGAGGUGGUAUACACACGUAUAUUGGAUUGACUAAAAAUUCAUGCCCAUGCGAAUUGUCGUUAUGGUCAAACGAGCAAAUGGGUCAACGAGUACGGAUUGAGCCAAGGAAGAAAGACGCGCGAACGAACCAGUUAUUAUUAUACAUCCCAUUGUCGCCCACCAAGGCAAGCUGCCAAAACGCUGACGUUUUUCUAACCGCGACAAACGGUAUUUACGUUUACGAUUGUAAUCGCACUUGAAGCAGGUGAACGGUAAGUCUGAUUAACACGGUGAGAGAUGGAUCCCAGACGUACCUAUACAAAUGACCAACGUAUAUUUUAUAAUACACAUUCGCUGUCAACGGCGCGCGAAGCGACGAACUUUUCUUUUUUCACCUGCACAGAUCCGUAACGAUGACGUAAUGCAACCGCAGAAAAUUGUCUGGAGAGAAACGAAGGAAUUGUUUGCAAUAAAAUUAAGGCUUCAGAGAUUCGUGCGAAUAAACGGCUACACGUGAUCCACCUGUACAGGAACGCACUUCUGGCGUCAACUGCGGUUGUCACGAAAGGAAAAGACGGGGAAUCAAACGAGAGGGAAUAAAAGUGAAUUCGAAAAAAUCGACGAAGCGUACGUACAGGCAUGUCGAAGUACGUAGGAAUAAAGGGAAAGAGGUGCACAACCGCAAAUAUUCAACGUGUAUGUAUGCGCGUACAUUGUACGAUGUAGUUCACGUCAAUUGCACGACAAGGCCUCCGGGAUGCCGGAUUUCACACGCUCAACGCACGACAGUAAAAUGGGUAUAUCUCGACAGAGAACGGUAUACGUUUCUGUGAAACAAGUCAGCAAAACGGAUGCAGGCGUCGAAUUCUCAACGACGCAACUUCGCGGCUGUAUAUUAGACCAUGUACGAUUAUACAGAUGCGUCGACGGCAUUUUAUGAAGUUCGUCUGAAGCACCAGAGAAACGAACGCCUAACUGUGCAUAUUCGAUAACAUUUUUCUUGCAAUUAGUGCCAUGUGGUUAUUUGGCACAACGAACGAGGUGAAAUUCAAUUCAGUUAACACACAGAUCCGGAAGGCGUGAAAACAUUCCUAAAAAGAAAUCUGCAUUCUCAACUCGUCCGUCAGACGCUAUUUUUUUCUUUUAGUUUUUGUUUAAUUGGAUUUGGCAUGGAAUCUGAACAUCAGUACGUUUAAUCUGUACUAAUUCGCUGUUUAUUCUUCAACUAUCAGAGCAAUAUAAAUAUGCGUAAAAAUUUCACACACGCCAUAUUUUUACAGAGUCCUGAAUUCGAUUGCAAGAUUUCCGUUUAAACUCACAUUCACCGAAACUCAAUAUCCGCACCUCGUGAAUUUCAAAUUGAUGUAAUGCAUACCGAUACAGCGUUCAAAAGCGUGAUCCGAUUCGUAUCGAAAAAGUCAUACAUUAUUUAUUCGUAAUCAGUAUGUCGCAUCACUUUCAUUAUUUUAGUUACUAACGCAGAAUCCAUUGUUCCAAACAAUACCAGGAACGAAUGUAUUUUUUUUUUUCUUGUGCUGUACUGCAUAGAAAAAGAUUGGACGCAACCAACUGAAUCUGUUGUUGUGAGCACGGAAAUAAGAGAUUUAUUCAACAACUGAAACUAAAUAUCAGCUGAUACACCAACACCUUUUUUUGUCCAAACAGAUGUUUGACUUCAUUCUCGGAUACUUAGUUUCCGUAACUGAUAAACAAUGAUUUACAAAUUCGCGACAGUAAACUCGGCUAAAAUCCGUACUACCGAUCCUUCGGCUCCGUGUAUAAUGUACCUCCGAAUACGCGGAUUGCCUUUUUUAUCCAAGACCCGCGAUCAGCCAGCCAGCCCAUCUGUUACCAUAUGCAAUAAAUUUGGUUUAUACGAUUA
rnacentral:lncRNA from 1 species